GCUGCUCCUCAGGGCUGCUGGAACUGUCCUGGGUCACCGACAGCCUCCUGGGGGACAGGGUGACCUCACAGAUGGGGAGAGACAGAAACAGUGCCACACCAUCACCCUGCUGCGUUCCAGAACGUUCCACAGCAACUCGGCCUGUGCCACCCCCACUGGGUCCAGCUCAGGAGAUUCUCAGGGUCCAUGCAUUCCUGCAGCUGGCACACACUGAAAGCCACGUUCUGGAUAUUCAAUAUUGGCCUCAGUGCUUUUGGGAGGGGCCUCUCUGAGCCCUGGGGCAGCGCCUGGGACUGGCAGGGGUGGAACAUCUGUGAGGGGGUCUUUUAGAGAGCAGCUCUUAUCCACAGAAGUGAUUUCCCUCCAGAGAUAGAGGUGCUGGCACAGCUGACAAACCAGGGACAGAUUUGGGAGAGAGCUGCAAAAGGCCAGACACAUAUUUUAGAGUUAUUUUCCUGAGGAGGAUUUGAUGAGAUGUGAACUUCAUUAUUUGCUAAUGUUGCAGCACAGAGCCUUGUCCAAAGCCCAGGAGAGUCAGAAGGAAUCUUUCCAUUAACUUCACUGAUUGGCUGCUCCAAUAAAUAACCCUGGGGAGCCUUCCAGGUGCCCAUAACAAGUCUGAGGGUAUUAAAGCUUCAGGGAAGGGGACGUGAGGCAAGAACCACUCAAUUCCCAACAUGGCUGAAGGGCCAGGAGGAAACACAGCCUGCACCGUGGCCACUGCUCUGGUGGGGGCAUGAAUGGCAUCGGACUCCAUUGAUCCAGAAUGCUGAACAAUUGUUUUAUUAAACUAUUCUAUUUAUUAAAUUAUAUUAUAUUGCAUUA